GAUGAACGCUAGCGGCAGGCCUAAUACAUGCAAGUCGAACGGGAUCAGGGAGCUUGCUCCCUGUGAGAGUGGCGCACGGGUGCGUAACACGUAUGCGAACCUACCUUCAACUGGGGGAUAGCCUUCCGAAAGGAAGAUUAAUACCGCAUAAUAUAAUUGAACGGCAUCGUUUAAUUAUCAAACGUCAGGGUUGAAGAUGGGCAUGCGUCCGAUUAGUUUGUUGGUGAGGUAACGGCUCACCAAGACUACGAUCGGUAGGGGAUCUGAGAGGAUGACCCCCCACACUGGUACUGAGACACGGACCAGACUCCUACGGGAGGCAGCAGUAAGGAAUAUUGGUCAAUGGACGCAAGUCUGAACCAGCCAUGCCGCGUGCAGGAAGACGGUCCUCUGGAUUGUAAACUGCUUUUGUUAGGGAAGAAACCCUCGGAUGCGUUCGAGGCUGACGGUACCUAAAGAAUAAGGAUCGGCUAACUCCGUG
rnacentral:rRNA from 1 species